rnacentral:rRNA from 1 species
AUUGAACGCUGGCGGCAGGCCUAACACAUGCAAGUCGAGCGGAUGAAGGGAGCUUGCUCCUGGAUUCAGCGGCGGACGGGUGAGUAAUGCCUAGGAAUCUGCCUGGUAGUGGGGGAUAACGUCCGGAAACGGGCGCUAAUACCGCAUACGUCCUGAGGGAGAAAGUGGGGGAUCUUCGGACCUCACGCUAUCAGAUGAGCCUAGGUCGGAUUAGCUAGUUGGUGGGGUAAAGGCCUACCAAGGCGACGAUCCGUAACUGGUCUGAGAGGAUGAUCAGUCACACUGGAACUGAGACACGGUCCAGACUCCUACGGGAGGCGGCAGUGGGGAAUAUUGGACAAUGGGCGAAAGCCUGAUCAAGCCAUGCCGCGUGAGUGAAGAAGGUCUUCGGAUUGUAAAGCAUUUUAAGUUGGGAGGAAGGGCAGUAAGUUAAUACCUUGCUGUUUUGACGUUACCAACAGAAUAAGCACCGGCUAACUUCGUG